AUCCUUCUUUAGUUCAUAAGUGUGAUGAUUGGGUUUUCAUGGACAUGUGUGAGAUGUGCCUCCCUCAAAACUUGUUACAACAUUGGCACAUUACCCGUCUGACA
ensembl:snoRNA